CCACACCUAGUGCCCAACGUUUACGGCAUGGACUACCAGGGUAUCUAAUCCUGUUCGCUCCCCAUGCUUUCGCUCCUCAGCGUCAGUAACAGCCCAGAGACCUGCCUUCGCCAUCGGUGUUCCUCCUGAUAUCUGCGCAUUUCACCGCUACACCAGGAAUUCCAGUCUCCCCUACUGCACUCUAGUCUGCCCGUACCCACUGCAGACCCGGGGUUGAGCCCCGGGCUUUCACAGCAGACGCGACAAACCGCCUACGAGCUCUUUACGCCCAAUAAUUCCGGACAACGCUUGCGCCCUACGUAUUACCGCGGCUGCUGGCACGUAGUUAGCCGGCGCUUCUUCUGCAGGUACCGUCACUUGUGGCUUCUUCCCUGCUGAAAGAGGUUUACAACCCGAAGGCCGUCAUCCCUCACGCGGCGUCGCUGCAUCAGGCUUGCGCCCAUUGUGCAAUAUUCCCCACUGCUGCCUCCCGUAGGAGUCUGGGCCGUGUCUCAGUCCCAGUGUGGCCGGUCACCCUCUCAGGCCGGCUACCCGUCGUCGCCUUGGUAGGCCAUUACCCCACCAACAAGCUGAUAGGCCGUGAGCCCAUCCAAAACCAGUAAAACCCUUU
rnacentral:rRNA from 1 species